rnacentral:rRNA from 1 species
CGCGAAACCGCGAGGUUUAGCUAAUCUCUUAAAACCAUUCUCAGUUCGGACUGUAGGCUGCAACUCGCCUACACGAAGUCGGAAUCGCUAGUAAUCGCGGAUCAGCAUGCCGCGGUGAAUACGUUCCCGGGCCUUGUACACACCGCCCGUCACACCAUGAGAGUUUGUAACACCCAAAGCCGGUGGGGUAACCUUUUAGGAGCUAGCCGUCUAAGGUGGGACAGAUGAUUAGGGUGAAGUCGUAACAAGGUAGCCGUAGGAGAACCUGCGGCUGGAUCACCUCCUUUCUAAGGAA